AAGAGAGAGACAUGCGCGCAUAUCAAUAAGCGGAGGAAAAGAAACUAACAAGGAUUCCCUUAGUAACGGCGAGUGAAGCGGGAAGAGCUCAAAUUUGAAAUCUUCAAGGUUUUACCUUGACGAAUUGUAGUUUAAAGGAGUGUUUUCUGUUGAAGUUUUGGUAAAAGUUCUUUGGAAUAGGGACAUCAUAGAGGGUGAGAAUCCCGUAUUUGACCAUUAUUUUCAGCUUUGUGAUACACUUUCAAAGAGUCGGAUUGUUUGGGAAUGCAGUCCAAAAUGGGUGGUAAAUUUCAUCUAAAGCUAAAUAUUGGCGAGAGACCGAUAGCGAACAAGUACCGUGAGGGAAAGAUGAAAAGAACUUUGAAAAGAGAGUUAAACAGUACGUGAAAUUGUCAAAAGGGAAGCGUUUGACACCAGUGUUGUUUUCUCGAAAAUCAAUUAAAAAUGGCUCGAUUUUGUAUUGCUGAGACCUUAAAAGCUCACUGUACAUUUUUCGUGUCUUUUUUAAUGCACUUUUCGUUUAACAAGUCAACAUCAGUUUCUUUUGUCGUAAAAGGGUCAUUGGAAGGUGGCUUUCUUUUCGGAGAAAGUGUUUAUAGCCUUUGGCCUCUGCAAUCGAAGAGACUGAGGUCUGCAGCGUAGACUCUUCGGGGUUAGAUACAUUUGUGCUAAGUUAUAGCCUUUUAUAGACAACUUGUUGACUAUAAUUAGUCUUGUAGCUUACUCGCUUAUGCUAUUUUACCUACGCUUAGGAUGUUGAAGAUGUAGCACAUCAU
rnacentral:rRNA from 1 species